AUUUUACAGAUGAGGAGGCUUGAGGCGAAGAGUGAUCAAGUAACUUGUCCAAGCUCAUACAGGAGUGGAAGCCUGAUGUGGGAGCAUUUAAUAUCCUCUCGAGCAGGAUACCACACUGCCUGUCCAGCAUAGCUUGCCUCCAGUCAAGUGCUUGCAGACCCAUCUGAAGAAAGACCAAUAACACACCAUUGGGGGAUAGAAGGCAGGUACAGAAAAGUGAACAGAAGAUGAAAUACUCUGCUCUCAAACAGAAACUGACUGGAAACCAAACUGGAUUCAGAUAUGGAGGAAAGGAAGUAAAAACGUCAUCCACGCUGUAUCACAGCAAAUAGAAGGUCUGUCAGAGCUAUCCAAGCCUGAGCGAGA